CCGAAACAUAAUAAAGAGAGUCCUCAAUGACGAGGCAAACUAUGGCAGACAAAUUGUGACCAUAUCCAGCAUUGAUGGAAAAAUAAUACGUUAUGCUAGGCCAAAUCACCCAACUAGAAAAGGGAGUGAUGCAUCUGCCGAGUCUGGAUCUGAAGUGGAAGAUGUAACAUCUCCUACUGCAUCAAGGAACCUGAUUACACAUCCUAUUUUGACCCCUGUUCACGAGGAGGCAAGUGGCUAAGCCUGUACAGUUUAGUGUAUGAACAAAA